rnacentral:rRNA from 1 species
CACGUAGGUAACCUGCCCUAAGGCGGGGGAUACCAUCUGGAAACAGGUGCUAAUACCGCAUAACCCCAGCAGUCACAUGAGUGCUGGUUGAAAGACGGCUUCGGCUGUCACUUUAGGAUGGACCUGCGGCGUAUUAGCUAGUUGGUGGAGUAACGGUUCACCAAGGCGAUGAUACGUAGCCGACCUGAGAGGGUAAUCGGCCACAUUGGGACUGAGACACGGCCCAAAACUCCUACGGGAGGCAGCAGUAGGGAAUCUUCCACAAUGGACGCAAGUCUGAUGGAGCAACGCCGCGUGGAUGAAGAAGGUUUUCGGAUCGUAAAAUCCUGUUGUUGAAGAAGAACGGUUGUGAGAGUAACUGCUCAUAACGUGACGGUAAUCAAACCAGAAAGUCACGGCUAACUACGUGCCAGCAG